UACGUAGGGCGCAAGCGUUAUCCGGAAUUAUUGGGCGUAAAGAGCUCGUAGGCGGUUUGUCGCGUCUGCCGUGAAAGUCCGGGGCUCAACUCCGGAUCUGCGGUGGGUACGGGCAGACUAGAGUGAUGUAGGGGAGACUGGAAUUCCUGGUGUAGCGGUGAAAUGCGCAGAUAUCAGGAGGAACACCGAGUGGCGAAGGCAGGUCUCUGGGCAUUAACGUGCGCUGAGGAGCGAAGACUGGGGAGCGAACAGG
rnacentral:rRNA from 1 species